rnacentral:lncRNA from 1 species
AAUCCAUAAUAACCUUGUUACAUGUCUUUGAUCGUUACCGGUGCACACGCGGUCCUGAUGCAACCCACCAGGUGGCAUGUUCUACUAAAGCCUCAUCCCAAAUCAUAUUCAACAAAUAUAAUAAUAAUCAUGGUCUAGCAAAAUUAUUAAACACAUAUCGAAAUAAAGAAUCAGAAUUUCGAGGAAACAACGUGCGACAUGUGGAAAAAUAAUAAUAACAA